UACUUUAUUGUAGGGGGUGAGCCAGACAUUUGGAAAAGCACAUUUUGACACAGGCAAUAAUGUACUCUUCCCAAUGCCUGGGUCAAUCUUUGCACUUAAUC